UUUGGUGUUUUGAGUGUUUUGGAGCUUGCACUUUGUGCAUGUAGAUACAAACUUGUGUGUUCUGGACCAUCUGAACUCUCUCAUAGUCACCAAUAGUCUUUAUCUUUUUGUGACUUGUGUGUUCUAGAUGAUUGUUAAGAUGGUCAAAACUAUGCUUCCUCUAGGUUAAUUUUUUUGUCAACUUGCGUUCAAUGUAUGUGCAUGUUUAUAAACAUAUUUUCAUUGUAG
rnacentral:lncRNA from 1 species